AGGGACCUGGUGCAUUCUUUAUGAGUUAUGAAAAGAGAAGCAGCUGCUGUUUAAAUUGUGCUCUGCGACACAUUUUGAUUUAUUAAUAAAAGUGAUAUUUAAAAAAAUUUAUGUCAAGAAAGUGAUACCUUAAGUGGAAGACUUUGUGUCGUGAUGAAAUGUUUUGUGCCAAUAAAAAUCCCGCAGAGUUUUACACAGUUCGAAAAGAUAAGUUAGCCAGACGAAUGACAAACAUUAAAAACAAAUUGACAAAACAGAAAACUAGAUUUUGGAACAACAACUGUAAUUCAACAGAUAAAUAAAAUAAUACAAUUUAAAUAAAAUGAAGCAAAAUAUUAAUAAAUUGAAUUUCUGAAGUGAUUUUACUUGGGAAGUUUCACUUGAAAGAGAUGUUACAAGUAAAAACUUUCUGAAAAAAUUCGGAAUUACCGAAAUGAUUUUACUUGGGAAGAAGUGAAAUACGAAGUGACUUCGAAAAAGUUACAUUUGCAUUUUAACUCGUUAAAAAGCGAACAUCCCAGCUUUCUUUAUGGAGCGUCACAUAUUCUUUACUCGUACAAGCUGACACUUUACUCCGGAUUCACAAGUGAAACAUUUUUGUCGGAACUGAUUAGGCUCAAACUAAUGCAAGGCAAAUUUGCGAUGGUAUGCGCGUGUCAACCGCUGCUCUAUUGCUAAGUACUAAU